rnacentral:rRNA from 1 species
CUGCUGCCUUCCGUAGGAGUCUGGGCCGUGUCUCAGUCCCAAUGUGGCCGAUCAACCUCUCAGUUCGGCUACUGAUCGUCGACUAGGUGGGCCGUUACCCCGCCUACUAUCUAAUCAGACGCGAGUCCAUCUGUAAGCGAUAAAUCUUUCAAAGCUUCCCCAUGCGGAAAAACUUCAAUAUGCGGUAUUAGCACAGAUUUCUCUGUGUUAUCCCCCUCUUACAGGCAGGUUACUCACGCGUUACUCACCCGUCCG